UGUAACUGUUGAUGAAAUUUCAGAAGAAGGGACAGAAUUCAUAAACCUGUCCAGUUUAAGAGAUGUUCAUUUGAGUCAUGUGAAAACCACUAUUAGUAAAAAGACAUCUCAUAAUCAGUAGGAUGUAUAAUGAGGUUCAGGGAAGAGUCAUAUUGAAGGUGAUGGGAUCUAUUGUGGAACAAGCUCACUGCUAGUCCAGGAAGCCAAAGGAUGUGAGAGAGUGCCCAUGAACUCUAUGCUGGCAAGAGAUGAUAGAGGGAAUAGAUGGCUGCAGUUCUUGCUGAACUCACGGGGGUGAAGGACUGAGCAGGGAACAUCCCUGUGGUCAGGGAGAGUAGAAAGGCAGGUCAGGUUUUCUCUGCUCAGCUAGGACCUGUUUCCAGCUGCCCUCUCUCUGCCUCUCUCCCCAUGCUCCUUCUUUCAUUUUGUUACACACAGUCAACUUCUUUUAUAUCUUCCCCAUAUAUAGAAAUGAGUUUUUUUUUAACUCAAUAGGACAAGAAUGGACAAUGUAGUUACUCUAGGAACCUGGGUUUGGGAUUGCCAAAGCAGCAGAGACCAAUACUUUGGUUCCAAACACAAAGUCUGUGUAGGAGCCACAUGUAGGUGGAAGUGGAUGCAUAUAUGCAGGGGAAGCUUUCUAUGGCUGCCAUCACUCCAGCAGAGCAACCAGAGACCAUCAGAACUGAGAGAAAUAUCACCCAAUUAUUGUCAUGCUUCAUUAGGCUUCACAUCACCAUUUUGCAGCAACUAGAAUAGCAAUCGGUAUUUCUGCUUGGGACAACAUUCUCCUUGUGUUCAUCACCAAGCUUCUGACCAGGAAGUGGCAUCAUAGAGGUACAAUGUGAUCAGCUGCCUCAAGCUCCCUGCCUUUCCUCCCACAAUGGGCUCUACCUUCAAACUGUGAGCUGAAAUAAAUCCUUCUUCUUUUCAGUAAGCUA